rnacentral:rRNA from 1 species
GGUUUCGGCUCGUAAGCUCUGUUGUUGGAGAAGAACGUGCGUGAGAGUAACUGUUCACGCAGUGACGGUAUCCAACCAGAAAGUCACGGCUAACUACGUGCCAGCAGCCGCGGUAAUACGUAGGUGGCAAGCGUUAUCCGGAUUUAUUGGGCGUAAAGCGAGCGCAGGCGGUUGCUUAGGUCUGAUGUGAAAGCCUUCGGCUUAACCGAAGAAGUGCAUCGGAAACCGGGCGACUUGAGUGCAGAAGAGGACAGUGGAACUCCAUGUGUAGCGGUGGAAUGCGUAGAUAUAUGGAAGAACACCAGUGGCGAAGGCGGCUGU